rnacentral:rRNA from 1 species
UGUACCUAACCUAAAAGCCACGGGUCAGUACGUUCCAGCAGCCGACGUAAUCAAUUGGUGGCAAGCAUUUUUCGGAAGUAUUUGGCGUAAAGCGCGGGCAGGUGGGUUCUUUAGUAUGUUGUGAAAGCCCAUGGUUCAACCGUGGAGGGUCAUUGAUAACUGGGUUGCUUGAGACAGAAGAGGAAAGGGGAAUUCCAUCUGUAGCGGUGAAAUGUGUAGAGAUGUUGAGGAACACCAGUGGCGAAGGCGACGUUUCUGUCUGUAACUGACACUGAGGCGCGAAAGCGUCGGGAUCAAACAAGAUUAGAUACCCUGGUAGUCCACGCCCUAAACGCCUUUAUAAAUAAGUGUUAGAGGGUUUCCGCCCCGUUAGUGGUUGAAGUUAAUUGGCCACUUUAUAUGGCCA